rnacentral:rRNA from 1 species
UGCGUAGGCGGCCCUGUGUGUCAGGGGUGAAAUCCGACGGCUCAACCGUCGAACUGCCCCUGAAACUGCAGAGCUUGAGUCCGGGAGAGGAAGGCGGAAUUCCUGGUGUAACGGUGAAAUGUGCAGAUAUCAGGAAGAACACCCGUGGCGAAGGCGGCCUUCUGGUCCGGUACUGACGCUGAGGCACGAAAGCUAGGGUAUCGAACG